rnacentral:rRNA from 1 species
AGAGUUUGAUCCUGGCUCAGGAUGAACGCUAGCGAUAGGCCUAACACAUGCAAGUCGAGGGGCAGCACAUGAAGUAGCAAUACUGAUGGUGGCGACCGGCGCACGGGUGAGUAACGCGUAUGCAACCUACCUACAACAGGGGAAUAACUCGUUGAAAGACGGACUAAUACCCCAUAAUACAGGGAUCCCGCAUGGGAAUAUUUGUUAAAGAUUUAUCGGUUGUAGAUGGGCAUGCGUUCCAUUAGCUAGUUGGUGAGGUAACGGCUCACCAAGGCAACGAUGGAUAGGGGAACUGAGAGGUUUAUCCCCCACACUGGUACUGAGACACGGACCAGACUCCUACGGGAGGCAGCAGUGAGGAAUAUUGGUCAAUGGACGCAAGUCUGAACCAGCCACGUCGCGUGAAGGAAGACGGCCCUACGGGUUGUAAACUUCUUUUGUAAGGGAAUAAAGUGAGCCACGUGUGGCUUUUUGCAUGUACCUUACGAAUAAGGAUCGGCUAACUCCGUGCCAGCAGCCGCGGUAAUACGGAGGAUCCGAGCGUUAUCCGGAUUUAUUGGGUUUAAAGGGUGCGCAGGCGGGAGAUUAAGUCGGCGGUGAAAUUUUGCAGCUCAACUGUAAAAGUGCCUUCGAAACUGGUUUCCUUGAGUGUAGAUGAAGUAGGCGGAAUUUGUGGUGUAGCGGUGAAAUGCAUAGAUAUCACGAGGAACUCCGAUUGCGCAGGCAGCUUACUAAACUACUACUGACGCUCAGGCACGAAGGCGUGGGGAUCAAACAGGAUUAGAUACCCUGGUAGUCCACGCAGUAAACGAUGGUUACUAGCUGUUUGCGAUACAAUGUAAGCGGCUGAGCGAAAGC